rnacentral:rRNA from 1 species
AUUGAACGCUAGCGGCAUGCUUAACACAUGCAAGUCGAACGGUAACAGGUCUAGCUUGCUAGAUGCUGACGAGUGGCGGACGGGUGAGUAACGCGUAGGAAUCUACCUUGUAGUGGGGGAUAACCUGGGGAAACUCAGGCUAAUACCGCAUUAGCCCUAAGGGGGAAAGCAGGGGACCGAAAGGCCUUGUGCUAUGAGAUGAGCCUGCGUUGGAUUAGCUAGUUGGUGGGGUAAAGGCCUACCAAGGCGAUGAUCCAUAGCUGGUCUGGAAGGGACGACCAGCCACCCUGGGACUGAGACACGGCCCAGACUCCUACGGGAGGCAGCAGUGGGGAAUAUUGGACAAUGGGCGCAAGCCUGAUCCAGCAAUGCCGCGUGUGUGAAGAAGGCCUGCGGGUUGUAAAGCACUUUCAGUGGGGAGGAAGGUCUUGAUGCUAAUAACAUUAAGAAUUGACGUUACCCAAAUAAGAAGCACCGGCUAACUCUGUGCCAGCCGCCGCCGUAA